UCAGGAGUUCUGGGCUGCAGCGGGCUGUGCCGAGCGGGUGUCCGCACUGAGGUCGGCAUCGAUAUGGGGAUUCCGGGGAAGCUCGGGGUCCCCAGGUUGCCUAAGGAGGGGUGAACCGGCCCAGGUCGGAAACGGAGCAGGUCAAAGCUCCCGUGCCGAUCAGUAGUGGGAUCGCGCCUGUGAAUGGCCCCUGCAGUGUAGCCUGAGUGAGACCCGGUCUCUU
rnacentral:sRNA from 1 species